GCCAGGUAUGGUGGUGCAUACCUGUAGUCUCAGCUACUCAGGAGGCUGAGGGAGGAGGAUUGCUUGACCCCAGGAGUUUGAGGCUGCAGUGAGCUAUGAUUGCACCACUGCACUCCAGCCUGGGCGACAGAGCGAGACCUUGCCUCUA
rnacentral:SRP_RNA from 1 species